GUCUGGCUGGACUUCCACCUUUUGUGCCUACAUCCAUUUCUCUUUUGUCUGUCCUUUUUAUCGUCUGAUGUCCUUUAUAUGCAGCUCACAGUUAAUAAGAUUAGCUUGCUUUCCAGGUCUCCUAGAGCUCAUGUAUUUUGUGAUACCAUCUCCAACUGUGGUUUAGUUUUAAUAACAAGAAUUCAACAGAGUUAAAUGCAGGAGGAUAUCCCAAUAAAUAACAAGAAUGGCUGUUUUCAGUAAAGAAAUGUCAUUAUGCUUCUGACGAAUGGAAGGAAAGAGAUCCAGUGAAGAAGUGGUGUUCUGUUUAGUAGUUUUAAAAAUUAAUCCUGCUAAUGCUCCCAUUUCUUUUUUCCGUCUUUAUUUUUGAACUGGCAACCAUCACCGUUUUAUCUAAAAUGUUGCAAACAACUAAGAUUCUUAUAUCUAAGAUAUAAAUUGUGUAAACAAUAAAAUAAAAUCUAAUACAGCGUAAUAUUGCUAUAUGCAUACUGGGUGCUGCCUAUAUUAAAAAAGUUACAUAUUUCAUAUUUAUUUAUUUAUUCAAAAAUGUAUAUACCGCUUGAUCAAAGCAGUUUACGUAUGUGGCCAAGUACCACCACUGGUAUUCUGGUCAUGUAAACACUUCAGGAUAGAUAGCGCUAAUAAUUAACUCUUGAUACAAACUACGUUGUAGCAUAGUUACAUUGGCAGUAUAUCGGUACAUACUCUGAUAAAUAACUUGAUUUUGGCACUUGAAUUAUGGUUGUGCUUGAUUAGGUAUGGAGGAAGAAUUGAUGCCAGGUGGAUAAGAGAAUAAAACCCAUAGUCUUAAUUUUAAAAAAAAUACUAGCUGCUGUCUUCAUCAGUUCUGUUGACUCUUACUGCAGUCGGCCCAUAUAGAAUUUUGGUACGUAAUUAAUCUCAGCUGUAUGUCAUAAAACUGUAAGCUAUCAAAGUGUAUUCCUGGAUCCUUUGUAGCUCUUAUGUUUCCAAUCAAUGUAGGAAACCUACAUUGUACAAUCUGUACUGAGCCUUGAGCAGAAUAGCUUCUAGUCACUUAUUUUAAAAUAGCAUUUUUUGUUUGCAGCACGUUUUCUUUGCAAGGCACAUUAAAGAAAGCGUGUGUUCCCUGCCAAAGUGAGUCAUUCCUGUGACUGUUCUGGUCACUUGUACUAGAACCAUAUUGUACAGCAAUCUGACUGUGACUCCUUUGUAGGCUUAGAAUUAGAAUAUUUUCCACAUAAUGACUUUGUGGGUGUUGGUGGCGAAUGUGUUUUCUUGGUUCAGCUAUAGCAUGAUGGGCCAUUUUAUUUAUCUGAUUUAUUUAUUACAGAAGUUUCCACCUUAUCCUUUAAGCAAGUUUCCAGGCUGCCUUACAAAACAAAGUAUCUUGGGUUUAAACUUGUUAGCUUUUACCUGCUUUAUACAGGGCAAUAUUAGCCUGUCAGGAUUUUCAGCUGGAUAACCUGAGUUAAAAUAGCUUUAUCUUCUACUGUACGCUACAUACUUUUAACAUGAACCUACUUCAUCAGGUGCAUCAAGUGGAGGGUGAAGAUUUAAAUACACACACACACACACAAGCAGGGAGAUCCGCCUCAAUGAGGUAAAAUUGGUUCCAAUAAAAGGUACUGCUCACCUGUGGAUAUUGGGAGUCCUAAUAGACCAGCAUGGUUAUCUUUGCUUUUUUUUCCCUACACAAUAUACCGGUGCGCUGUACCGUAGCCUCAAACUUUAUGCCAUGAUAAAUUUGUUGAUAUUUAAGAUUCAACAGGACUCCUUUUUGCUGCUACAGACUAGUAUGGUUAUGCUUUUGGAGCUCAGAUUGGCUAUGUGAGUGGCUUUGUGUGGGAUUUACAGAAUAUUUAAACUCCUUCCUUCUGUCUUGUUGGAAAGCAUGGUUUGUGUUUCUCAAGGUUCCUGUCAUAUGUCUGCUCCUUUCUUUUCUUUGUGCGGCAUGUUUGGUUCUAGCUUUUGCAUAUUAGUCCUCUUAUUUCAGUUUGCAACCAGUAUGCUUUUGAAUGAAAUGGGCCAUAUUAGCUCCUUGUCAUU